AUAGAUGAAAAUUGAGAGGUUAACUCCAUUCCUUACCAAAACACAUGAGUCCAAGAUGGCCAAAGAAGAAGAAAUAACCUUACAUGUUUCCUUCUGUCCCUCAAAACACUCAGCCUCCAGAGCUCCGCCCCACCUUGACGGCCCCGGGAUUUCCUUUGCUCUGGCAUCUGCAGGACUCACGACCAAAGGGAGAAGACAAACAGAACAUAAAAUUUCAGUGAGAAAAAGGAAGAGAAAAAGAAGAGCAUUUAAUGUUGGCUCCCUGCAUAGAUGGAAUAUCUACAGAGAAAAUCAAUGUGGAGAGAAGAAAACUGCAUGAUUUAAACAAUGUAUACGUUUGCUGGGAUAAAUAUGUCAUUCGUCCUGGAAGUGAACUACAAAGAUGCCGAGACUCUUGCCUUCUGCAACUGGUGGAGCAGCCACUGGUUGCUAUGUAUGAUGUAAAAGAAACUUAACGAAUAAGGGAGUACUUCUCCUAACAGAGUUUACUCUUGCCAUUUGUGAUGUUAUAAUUCAGCAAGUGAUUAUAGUGUGGUUUCAGAUAAUACCUGUUUGGUUUAUCUAUCUCAAAUAUGUGUUUCUUUCUAACAUCACAAAACAUACAUCAGAAAGAUACCUUUUGUUGCUCUCACUAGCU